rnacentral:lncRNA from 1 species
UGACUUGUCUCGGAUAAGUGGCCAAAGAAACCGGCUAAUCAAGCCCAAGCCCAAAGCCAAGUGAAGUGCAGUGUAGUAACCGUGUGCCCCGCCCACCUGUGCAGCCCACCCUACACAGAGGUGACCCACUUGAACAUGCGCCGCUCGUGACAUUCGACUGGAAAACGUGCAAAAGCGACGGGAAAUCGACAAACGCAAAACAAAGCUGCAGCAGAGACAAACAAAACGUCGAAACGUGCAGAACGUCACUUUUAGCCACCUCGCAGCGACAACAGCCGCGCCGAGCCCGAACGGAGAUGCGUCACAGCGGAAAAGCAGCGUCAGCCGACAGCGUCGAAAAGUGUUAAGAAAGAAAUGCACUGCCCAGAAAUAAUACGGAAAAUCAGGAAAUGUAACCAGCGAGAAAUGCGCACCGAGGCAACCGGCAACACGCACCACAGACAACAAAAAACUUAAACCGAAAGAAGCGCAGACUUUCGAGCCGAGGCUUAGACUACUCUUCCAACAUAAUUGCAUAUGAUUUGAUCCGAAGUAGAUAAAGAAAAGAUCUUAAGCACUCACAGAAGAGACACCCCUGCACGUAUGGAAAAAAUGACUAAAAAUAUAAAGAACAAAUAUAAUAUAGGCAAAUAUCUCAUGGAACUAUUAAUACCUCGUGCAAGGGUAUAUGUACAUUCAAAUGACUACGUUGACAGUUGUUGGAACUGACAGUUUGACGUUUCGACUCACGCGCCAAACGUCAAACAGCAGCAACAAUCCAACAGCAGCAAUUCCCGCAGCCACAAACAAUAGACAACUCAAUGAGGACUUUUGAUAGGCACAUCUGACGACGGCAACACGGCAAAUAAAUUAUUUCUGACAAUUAUUUAUGCUUGAUAUCUGCAUCAUUAAGCAAAUCGGAAAGGAAAUAUGUGUGAGACUUCAACACAGAAUAUUCUAAACAUUUCAGAGGUCAUCUAUGUACUUUAUGUACACAUAUGUUAAGUUGUAAAACUGAAUCAGAAAUAAUUGAUACAACUGCUUCAUAAUAAUCCAAUAUCCAUUUCAAAUAAAG